rnacentral:rRNA from 1 species
UGGGGAAUAUUGGACAAUGGAGGGAACUCUGAUCCAGCAAUUCUGUGUGUGUGAAGAAGGUUUUAGGACUGUAAAACACUUUUAGUAGGGAAGAAAAAAAUGACGGUACCUACAGAAGAAGCAACGGCUAAAUACGUGCCAGCAGCCGCGGUAAUACGUAUGUUGCGAGCGUUAUCCGGAAUUAUUGGGCUUAAAGGGCAUCUAGGCGGUAAGACAAGUUGAAGGUGAAAACCUGUGGCUCAACCAUAGGCUUGCCUACAAAACUGUUGAACUAGAGUACUGGAAAGGUGGGUGGAACUACAUGAGUAGAGGUGAAAUUCGUAGAUAUGUGUAGGAAUGCCGAUGAUGAAGAUAACUCACUGGACAGAAACUGACGCUGAAGUGCGAAAGCUAGGGGAGCAAACAGG